rnacentral:lncRNA from 1 species
GAAAUGAUGAGGGGAAGAGGGCGGCCUGUGGAGCAGAGACUUAGAGAGGAAAAAUGUUUCUGGAGUCCGCUGCGGCGGAGGCUUCUGGACAGCGAGAAGAGAAGCGCAGCGGGUGCCUAAUGAGGGAAACAGGACCGGCGCCCAGACACAUGGAGGAUUUGAAGAGGAGAAACAUACUUUUCAGUAUAACUGAGUGUCAUUAAAAAGGGCCACCAGAUUCAUCUGAGAUUAUCCAACGGAACUAUCUCAGUACUCGCUGGUCUCUGAGGAAACCUGCCUAGGAAUAAACCCUCCCGACUCUCUCCUCUCAAGCUUUGGAUGUGCUUACCUCAUUAUCCAUCAUCUUCCUUCACAUCUUCUCGGGAUAAAUGCU